rnacentral:rRNA from 1 species
UACGGGGGGGGCAAGCGUUGUUCGGAAUUACUGGGCGUAAAGGGCUCGUAGGUGGCCAACUAAGUCAUACGUGAAAUCCCUCGGCUUAACCGGGGAACUGCGCCUGAUACUGGUUGGCUUGAGUUUGGGAGAGGGACGCGGAAUUCCAGGUGUAGCGGUGAAAUGCGUAGAUAUCAUCUGGAACGCCAAUGGUGCAGACAAGCUGCUGGGGGUGUACUGACGCUGAGGCACGAAAGCCAGGGGAGCAAACGGG